rnacentral:rRNA from 1 species
CCUACGGGUGGCAGCAGUGAGGAAUAUUGGUCAAUGGGCUAGGGCCUGAACCAGCCAAGUCGCGUGAGGGAAGACGGUCCUAUGGAUUGUAAACCUCUUUUGUCGGGGAGCAACGAGGCCACGUGUGGCCGAGGUGAGAGUACCCGAAGAAAAAGCAUCGGCUAACUCCGUGCCAGCAGCCGCGGUAAUACGGAGGAUGCGAGCGUUAUCCGGAUUUACUGGGUGUAAAGGGAGCGUAGGCGGUACUGCAAGUUGGCUGUCAAAUCUACCGGCUCAACCGGUAUCCGCACUCGAAACUGCAGUUCUUGAGUGAGGUAGAGGCAGGCGGAAUGCGUGGUGUAGCGGUGAAAUGCGUAGAUAUUAGGAAGAACUCCAGUGGCGAAGGCAGCCUGCUGGGCUUUUACUGACGCUGAGGCUCGAAAGUGUGGGGAUCGAACAGGAUUAGAUACCCGAGUAGUC